GACGAACGCUGGCGGCGUGCUUAACACAUGCAAGUCGAGCGGUAAGGCCCUUUCGGGGGUACGACGAGCGGCGAACGGGUGAGUAACACGUGGGUGACCUGCCCUUAGCUCUGGGAUAAGCCUGGGAAACUGGGUCUAAUACCGGAUAUGACUCCAUAACGCAUGUUGUGGGGUGGAAAGCCUUGUGCGGCUAGGGAUGGGCCCGCGGCCUAUCAGCUUGUUGGUGGGGUGAUGACCUACCAAGGCGACGACGGGUAGCCGGCCUGAGAGGGCGACCGGCCACACUGGGACUGAGACACGGCCCAGACUCCUACGGGAGGGCAGCAGUGGGGAAUCUUGCGCAAUGGGCGAAAGCCUGACGCAGCGACGCCGCGUGGGGGAUGAC
rnacentral:rRNA from 1 species